CCGGAGAGGAUUUUGCAAUGCAAAACACGGGGUCUGAGAAGCAAAGCAGCAGCAUCCAGCAGCUGUGACACAAAGAGCAGAGGACAGGAGGGUCGUCUUACUCUGGAACCACUGGCAAGAAGUCAUCUAUCUGAAAUCUCACUGAGAGGUAUACCUGGAACGCCAAAUAACACAGAAAGAUUUGCAAAUUACCACCUUCAAAUCUGGAGUUUUUCAAAGUUGAAAAGAAACUCGGCAGCCAUGUAGUCAGCACCUUGGACCUGCUUCUGUGUCCUGUGAGCACAGGAAGUCAAGACUUGUCCUCUGUGGGAGAACUAGGCCAGACUCUAUUCAUUCCACCUAUUGCUUUUCAAAGUCACAUGUCCCCCUGCUGCAGGCUGUACACUAACACUGAAAGCCCCUAUACCCGCACACUCUCACAAAAUAUAGGGGGUUAGUAUACAACUGCCUUUCCUACGGAAAAGUUGCCUGUUUAUGCCAUCAAGUUAGAAAGAUGGAGUACCAAAUAUAAUAAAAAGCAAGAACAGUAA